GGACUCAUUAAAGUAGACCGCAGGGGAGC
rnacentral:piRNA from 1 species